GAUGAACGCUGGCGGCGUGCCUAAUACAUGCAAGUCGAGCGAACUUUUGGGAGCUUGCUCCCAAAAGUUAGCGGCGGACGGGUGAGUAACACGUGGGUAACCUGCCUGUAAGACUGGGAUAACUUCGGGAAACCGGAGCUAAUACCGGAUAACAUUGAAGACGACAUGGCCUUCAAUUAAAAGGUGGCUUUUAGCUACCACUUACAGAUGGACCCGCGGCGCAUUAGCUAGUUGGUGAGGUAACGGCCCACCAAGGCGACGAUGCGUAGCAGACCGGAGAGGGUGAUCGGCCACACUGGGACUGAGACACGGCCCAGAGCCCUACGGGAGGCAGCAGUAGGGAAGCGUCAGCAAUGGACGAAAGUCUGACGGAGCAACGCCGCGUGAGCGAAGAAGGCCUUCGGGUCGGAAAGCUCUGUUGUUAGGGAAGAACAAGUAUCGUUCGAAUAGGGCGGUACCUUGACGGUACCUAACCAGAAAGCCACGGCUAACUACGUG
rnacentral:rRNA from 1 species